CACAUGACGCUGGCGGCAUGCCUACCGUGCAAGUCGAACGGUAACAGGUUCAGCUGACGAGUGGCGAACGGGUGAUAUGUAUCGGAACGUGCCCAGUCGUGGGGGAUAACUGCUCGAAAGAGCAGCUAAUACCGCAUACGACCUGAGGGUGAAAGCGGGGGAUCGCAAGACCUCGCGCGAUUGGAGCGGCCGAUAUCAGAUUAGGUAGUUGGUGAGGUAAAGGCUCACCAAGCCGACGAUCUGUAGCUGGUCUGAGAGGACGAACAGACACACUGGGACUGAGACACGGCCCAGACUCCUACGGGAGGCAGCAGUGGGGAAUUUUGGACAAUGGGCGCAAGCCUGAUCCAGCCAUGCCGCGUGCGGGAAGAAGGACUUCGGGUUGUAAACCGCUUUUGUCAAGGGAAGAAAAGGUUCUGGCUAAUACCUGGGACUCAUGACGGUACCUGAAGAAUAAGCACAGGAUUAAUAACUGCCAACAGACGCGGUAAUACAGUAAGGUGCAGGACUUAAUCGGAAUAACUGGGCGUAAAGAGUGCACAAGGGGUAUGCAAGAAAGAGGUGAAAUCCCCGAGGCUCAACUGAGAACUGCCUUAGGGACGUGGAUUGCUAGAGUCGGGGAGAAGGGGAUUGAAUACCGAGUGUAGCAAGAAAAUGCGUAAGAAUAUGCAGAAGAAGCACAGACGGG
rnacentral:rRNA from 1 species